rnacentral:rRNA from 1 species
AGAGUUUGAUCAUGGCUCAGAUUGAACGCUGGCGGAAUGCUUUACACAUGCAAGUCGAACGGCAGCACGGGGCAACCUGGUGGCGAGUGGCGAACGGGUGAGUAAUACAUCGGAACGUGCCCAGUCGUGGGGGAUAACGUAGCGAAAGUUACGCUAAUACCGCAUACGAUCUAUGGAUGAAAGCGGGGGAUCGCAAGACCUCGCGCGAUUGGAGCGGCCGAUGUCAGAUUAGGUAGUUGGUGGGGUAAAGGCCUACCAAGCCGACGAUCUGUAGCUGGUCUGAGAGGACGACCAGCCACACUGGGACUGAGACACGGCCCAGACUCCUACGGGAGGCAGCAGUGGGGAAUUUUGGACAAUGGGCGCAAGCCUGAUCCAGCCAUUCCGCGUGCAGGAUGAAGGCCUUCGGGUUGUAAACUGCUUUUGUACGGAACGAAAAGGCUCUGGUUAAUACCCGGGGCUCAUGACGGUACCGUAAGAAUAAGCACCGGCUAACUACGUG